UGUUACGUGCGAGUAUUUACCGUCGUAUUUAUCGUGAUAUUUUAAGUCUAGAAAUUGUUUACACUACACGUACGAUACGGAUCGUGACAGUUCGAUGGUCCAGUAGUGAAAAUAAACAAAGUUUACAUUGCUAUUUUGACAUAAGUAGGCGUCACGUUGGUUUCAAGUAUUCGUCCAGUCGACGAUGGAAGAGGACACGCUUAUGGAGCAUUCUUUUUUAUCGAAUGAUCAAAAAAACUUGAAAGAAUUUAUACUUUUGUUAGAAACACUACCGGAGGUAUGGGACGCUUCAAAUGCUGACCGUCAUAACAGAGCAAAAAGAGAGAAGGCCUAUAAAAAAUUGCUGGAAAUUUAUAAGAGAAUUAAACCAGAAGCUACAAAUAGAGACGUAAAUGCUAAGGUUAACUCAUUGAAAUCUAACUAUAGAAAAGAGUACAAAAAAGUAAUUUUAAAGCAACAAAGUACUGGAGUUGAUGAUGCUGACAUUCCAAAGUCUUGGGUAUUUCAUAUGCUCAGAUUUUUGGAUAAAAGUAUAAAGCCCAUUGAUAUGAACUCUAUUGAUUCUAAAUUAGAUGAAUUCAAAAUCAAAGAACAAAGUCAGUCUUCAUUUUCUUCUAUGGAUGAACCUGCGCCACCUCCAAAAAAACUUAAGAAAAAUAGGCCAGUAGCAGGAAGGAAUGAUCUUCUCGAAAAAGCCUGCCACCGACCUGAGAGUCCAUCAGUGGUGAACAUAGAUCCUGCUGCUCUUUAUUGGACUCAGAAACUGUAUAAAUUAAACCCAACUCAAAGAGUGUUCGCCGAAAAGGCAAUUAACGAUGUUCUUUUGGAGGCUGAGCUAGGGACACUGACCAGGGACUCAGUACAAAUUAACGUUGGACGUCCAGAAUUUAUGUUUGUUGCAUCGCCAACGAAUAGCGAAUAAUGAUUCAGACAAAUUGAUUCAUAGAAAGAUGGUGGAUCUACAUUAUUUGGUAGUGCUAUAUUGUCAAAUUAUUAUUGUAAAGAUCUGUUGGCUAGACUUGAAAUAACUCGGCUGAAUUACGUAGGUCCGCCAACUGUCUUCGAAUUUGCCGUAGUAACCACAGUCUAUUACAUCUCCGGAAUCAUGAUGCAGCAUCACCUCAAACUGAUUAAGGUUUUACUUCAAUGUAUGACGAUAAUGUUAUAUAACGAUUAACGAGUAACGACUGGUGUGCCUUUAAUUUCAUGAUCAAAAUACAAAAAUAUACAUAAGACUCGU